rnacentral:rRNA from 1 species
GAUGAACGCUAGCUACAGGCUUAACACAUGCAAGUCGAGGGGCAGCAUGAACUUAGCUUGCUAAGUUGAUGGCGACCGGCGCACGGGUGAGUAACGCGUAUCCAACCUGCCCUUGCCACCGGAUAACCCGUCGAAAGGCGGACUAACACGGUAUGUAGUCCACAGCAGGCAUCUAACGUGGACGAAAUGCGAAGGAGAAGGAUGGGGGAUGCGUCUGAUUAGCUUGUUGGCGGGGUAACGGCCCACCAAGGCGACGAUCAGUAGGGGUUCUGAGAGGAAGGUCCCCCACAUUGGAACUGAGACACGGUCCAAAACUCCUACGGGAGGCAGCAGUGAGGAAUAUUGGUCAAUGGACGGAAGUCUGAACCAGCCAAGUAGCGUGCAGGAUGACGGCCCUAUGGGUUGUAAACUGCUUUUAUAUGGGGAUAAAGUGGGCCACGUGUGGCUUAUUGCAGGUACCAUAUGAAUAAGGACCGGCUAAUUCCGUG